AUGCACCUGAGCUGACCAAGCAUUGUUUUCGUGUUGAGCUCCGAGAUGGUGUUUGUAUGUUAUAAGCACAGAGACCAAUGUUGAUAUGAAGCAUUAUGUUGAGCAAUCUCUCCGUGUGACCCUGAGGUCAGCUAGUAACACAGAGUAGUCUCCGUGGAAAUGCUUCUACAGAUGGACGAAGAGGUGCACUUGGGCUGAUUUCAUAUAUUCAUGGGCACAAGCUCUGUGGUUGACUCUAUAUAGUUGGAGGACGCAGGUAAUAAGAGACACGCUAGACCUGAUUUACGGAUUCCUCCCUGGUCACGAGCUCGGUCUAGGGUUCUGGUUCUGUUACAGGAGCGUCUGGAGACCAGUAAUGGACCCCCUUGAGUUGACGUAAGCCUCUUCCGAGGUCACGUGCUCUCCAGUUGAAUCCAUGUUGUUAAGAACAUCGGAGACCAGGCUGAGUAAUGCAGACUUCGGUGGUUUGUCUAAGGGUACUCACUGUAUUGUUCCAAAUGUUAAAUAAAAUCAAAGAAGGUGAAAUACACCAGUGGUAAAUAUCAGAUUGAUAUGGUACAUUAAGGUGAUGAAUCCAUAAACGUAAAUCUUGAGGUCAGUUUUGAAACGGAGUUAGUCUCUGGGAGAGAUUGUAGAGAUAGAGAUUAAGACUAUUAAGGCAUCUUAUACUUACUUAUUUUUAAUCCUGUGUAUUUGUUAAUUCAGUGAAGCCAUAAUCAAAUGUCUAUUGAAUAACGAGAAGGAGGCCUAAUCAUGAACCAGUGAUGGUGAGUGGUGGUGGAUGAGACAAUAAAAUCUAUGUGUCUGGGUA